UACGUAGGUGGCAAGCGUUGUCCGGAUUUACUGGGCGUAAAGCGUGCGUAGACGGUUAUUUAAGUCAGAUGUGAAAGCCCCGGGCUCAACCUGGGAAUUGCAUUUGAGACUGAAUAGCUAGGGUGCGGUAGAGGGAAGCGGAAUUUCCGGUGUAGCGGUGAAAUGCGUAGAUAUCGGAAGGAACAUCAGUGGCGAAAGCGGCUUCCUGGACCAGCACCGACGUUCAGGCACGAAAGCGUGGGGAGCAAACAGG
rnacentral:rRNA from 1 species